rnacentral:pre_miRNA from 1 species
AUACUACUCCCUUCGUCCGGAAAUAUUUGUUCUAAAAAUGAACAUAAUAGAUGUAUCUAUAACUAAAAUAAGUCUAGAUACAUUCAUCUUUAGGACAAGUAUUUUCGUACGGAGGGAGUAGUAU